rnacentral:tRNA from 7 species
GCUCCCAUCGUCUAACGGUUAGGACACGGCCCUCUCAAGGCCGCGAUACGGGUUCGAUUCCCGUUGGGAGCACCA